GUUAGAGAUAAAGAGUACAUAAUGGAACAUCUAAUGUGCUCUUUUCCUCAUGGUAUUUUGAUGUCUACGAGAAAAGAAUUAUGAGAGACUGGCCAUUUAUCCUAGGAGUAAACCAGAUCUCUGUGGGUCAGCAGUCAGUGUGAGCAGUGGAGCACAUUCUCAGACUCAUGCAGCUGCCUCGGGAGUGACAGACACCUUUCCACUAUUCUGGGCCUUGUUCUGAGAGGAAGAAAAGCGGUUACCGUCUGUGAUGCUGGUGGCUUAAGAAGAAAAAAGAAAUCCUGCUCAUGCAGAGGAGUUAAGUGUUCUCCUUUGUUGCCUUAACACCUGCCAUGUCCUCGGAUCUCACCUUCUAAUCCAAGCAGUGCAUCAAGGGUUUCUUCCUGGCCUAUUUGAGCUUGAACGCUCUCUGGGCUCAGGUCACAUGAAGACAUUAUCAUCACCUCAUUGUUCAAAGCACCUGAUCGUAGAACCUGGCGGGUGAACAAUUGCUGAAUGACAAACGCCGAAUUUUGAUGACUCCCAUGUUCUCAGCUUCCUUGGAAACUCAGUGAAGCCACAUGGCUAAACUCAGGCCAAUAAGAUGUCAACAGAAUUGGGUGCUACCUUAGAAAGUGUCUUUUAAAGGGAUUGUUCACACAGUCCCUUGCUCCUCCCUUCAUUCUCCUGCCUGGAAUGCAGAUUUGAUGUGUGGAGUCCUAGCAGCCAUUUUGGAUCAUGAGUACAUGCACCGCUUUCUAGGGAUAGGAGAGCAAGGAGAUGAAAGGAGCCACCAUGUUACCUCGGGAUGCCUACCUCCUGACUUUUUUCACAUGAAUGAAGAA
rnacentral:lncRNA from 1 species